rnacentral:rRNA from 1 species
ACAAGUAGUCAGAGCCCGUUAAUGGGUGAUGGCGUGCCUUUUGUAGAAUGAACCGGCGAGUUACGAUUUGAUGCAAGGUUAAGCAGUAAAUGUGGAGCCGUAGCGAAAGCGAGUCUGAAUAGGGCGUUUAGUAUUUGGUCGUAGACCCGAAACCAGGUGAUCUACCCUUGGUCAGGUUGAAGUUCAGGUAACACUGAAUGGAGGACCGAACCGACUUACGUUGAAAAGUGAGCGGAUGAACUGAGGGUAGCGGAGAAAUUCCAAUCGAACCUGGAGAUAGCUGGUUCUCUCCGAAAUAGCUUUAGGGCUAGCCUCAAGUGAUGAUUAUUGGAGGUAGAGCACUGUUUGGACGAGGGGCCCCUCUCGGGUUACCGAAUUCAGACAAACUCCGAAUGCCAAUUAAUUUAACUUGGGAGUCAGAACAUGGGUGAUAAGGUCCGUGUUCGAAAGGGAAACAGCCCAGACCACCAGCUAAGGUCCCAAAAUAUAUGUUAAGUGGAAAAGGAUGUGGCGUUGCCCAGACAACUAGGAUGUUGGCUUAGAAGCAGCCAUCAUUUAAAGAGUGCGUAAUAGCUCACUAGUCGAGUGACACUGCGCCGAAAAUGUACCGGGGCUAAACAUAUUACCGAAGCUGUGGAUUGUCCUUUGGACAAUGGUAGGAGAGCGUUCUAAGGGCGUUGAAGCAUGAUCGUAAGGACAUGUGGAGCGCUUAGAAGUGAGAAUGCCGGUGUGAGUAGCGAAAGACGGGUGAGAAUCCCGUCCACCGAUUGACUAAGGUUUCCAGAGGAAGGCUCGUCCGCUCUGGGUUAGUCGGGUCCUAAGCUGAGGCCGACAGGCGUAGGCGAUGGAUAACAGGUUGAUAUUCCUGUACCACCUAUAAUCGUUUUAAUCGAUGGGGGGACGCAGUAGGAUAGGCGAAGCGUGCGAUUGGAUUGCACGUCUAAGCAGUAAGGCUGAGUAUUAGGCAAAUCCGGUACUCAUUAAGGCUGAGCUGUGAUGGGGAGAAGACAUUGUGUCUUCGAGUCGUUGAUUUCACACUGCCGAGAAAAGCCUCUAGAUAGAAAAUAGGUGCCCGUACCGCAAACCGACACAGGUAGUCAAGAUGAGAAUUCUAAGGUGAGCGAGCGAACUCUCGUUAAGGAACUCGGCAAAAUGACCCCGUAACUUCGGGAGAAGGGGUGCUCUUUAGGGUUAACGCCCAGAAGAGCCGCAGUGAAUAGGCCCAAGCGACUGUUUAUCAAAAACACAGGUCUCUGCUAAACCGUAAGGUGAUGUAUAGGGGCUGACGCCUGCCCGGUGCUGGAAGGUUAAGAGGAGUGGUUAGCUUCUGCGAAGCUACGAAUCGAAGCCCCAGUAAACGGCGGCCGUAACUAUAACGGUCCUAAGGUAGCGAAAUUCCUUGUCGGGUAAGUUCCGACCCGCACGAAAGGCGUAACGAUUUGGGCACUGUCUCAACGAGAGACUCGGUGAAAUCAUAGUACCUGUGAAGAUGCAGGUUACCCGCGACAGGACGGAAAGACCCCGUGGAGCUUUACUGUAGCCUGAUAUUGAAAUUCGGCACAGCUUGUACAGGAUAGGUAGGAGCCUUUGAAACGUGAGCGCUAGCUUACGUGGAGGCGCUGGUGGGAUACUACCCUAGCUGUGUUGGCUUUCUAACCCGCACCACUUAUCGUGGUGGGAGACAGUGUCAGGCGGGCAGUUUGACUGGGGCGGUCGCCUCCUAAAAGGUAACGGAGGCGCUCAAAGGUUCCCUCAGAAUGGUUGGAAAUCAUUCAUAGAGUGUAAAGGCAUAAGGGAGCUUGACUGCGAGACCUACAAGUCGAGCAGGGUCGAAAGACGGACUUAGUGAUCCGGUGGUUCCGCAUGGAAGGGCCAUCGCUCAACGGAUAAAAGCUACCCCGGGGAUAACAGGCUUAUCUCCCCCAAGAGUUCACAUCGACGGGGAGGUUUGGCACCUCGAUGUCGGCUCAUCGCAUCCUGGGGCUGUAGUCGGUCCCAAGGGUUGGGCUGUUCGCCCAUUAAAGCGGUACGCGAGCUGGGUUCAGAACGUCGUGAGACAGUUCGGUCCCUAUCCGUCGUGGGCGUAGGAAAUUUGAGAGGAGCUGUCCUUAGUACGAGAGGACCGGGAUGGACAUACCUCUGGUGUACCAGUUGUCGUGCCAACGGCAUAGCUGGGUAGCUAUGUGUGGACGGGAUAAGUGCUGAAAGCAUCUAAGCAUGAAGCCCCCCUCAAGAUGAGAUUUCCCAACUUCGGUUAUAAGAUCCCUCAA